AGCGAACGCUGGCGGCAGGCCUUACACAUGCAAGUCGAACGAAGUCUUCGGACUUAGUGGCGGACGGGUGAGUAACACGUGGGAACGUGCCUUUAGGUUCGGAAUAACUCAGGGAAACUUGUGCUAAUACCGAAUGUGCCCUUCGGGGGAAAGAUUUAUCGCCUUUAGAGCGGCCCGCGUCUGAUUAGCUAGUUGGUGAGGUAAAGGCUCACCAAGGCGACGAUCAGUAGCUGGUCUGAGAGGAUGAUCAGCCACAUUGGGACUGAGACACGGCCCAAACUCCUACGGGAGGCAGCAGUGGGGAAUCUUGCGCAAUGGGCGAAAGCCUGACGCAGCCAUGCCGCGUGAAUGAUGAAGGUCUUAGGAUUGUAAAAUUCUUUCACCGGGGACGAUAAUGACGGUACCCGGAGAAGAAGCCCCGGCUAACUUCGUGCCAGCAGCCGCCGCGG
rnacentral:rRNA from 1 species